rnacentral:lncRNA from 10 species
GGGUAUCUGAAGAUGUUUGGACCUAGGUUAAAGGAGAACCUCUUAUUUGAGAUGUGCCAAGCAUCACAGUUUUGGAUUUAUUUGGGAAAAAUCAAGGGAGCUGGUGGAAACACACAAUAGAUCUUAAAGCUUCUGUUCCACCUGGCAUAUGUUAACACAAGUAUACUCCUACACCAAGGCAAGUCGCCUACCCAUACCUGGUAUCAACAGAGCCUGGAUGUAUAUGCUUAUCCUUCACAAGAUGCUGCAGUUCACUUGUCUGCAGAUGGGCUUGUAUAAUCCUCUAAAUUAUUUAGAAACUAAAAGUAAGGGAGAAUGAUGACCGGUUCAGAACAAUAGUGCAGUCUACCACACAGGAAGAGGCAGGAAAGCUCAAAACUAGAUUCUCCAGUCUCUGCUGAAGCUGACUUCUCAAUGUGAUGAGGUUCCAGGUGACAUAUGCUCUCAGACACCCAGUAAAGCCUUUGAUUUGGGACUGAGUCAGCUCAGCUGUUUGAGACAGAAGUUGGAAGCAGGCCACUCAAGUUUGUUGACACGAAUCAUGACAUGGAAACUGAAUCAUGUAUUUGAUAGUGGUGAUAACCCGUCAUUAGGAAAUAUGAAUGCUUUUGAAUGACCAUGGAUCAUUGAAAAAACAAGGACAUUAUGUACUGAGCUAUAAGGUGAAACUCAAUAAUUUACCAAAAGUAGAAUUUU